GCAGCACCCAUCCCUUCCCAGGUCCCUGAACCCCAUCGUCAAGAACAGGGAGGAAUCUAGACAACAGGGAAAAAACGAAAGGUCAGCUCUGAGUUUGGCAAGAGGGCAAAGGUGCUCCGACCUGCACAUCAGGGCUCCUCCCCUGCUGCCACCAUUCCCACAGCUGGACAUCAGGCACAGCAACUUCCUAGAUCUUCUUAAUCUCAUAUUCCUAACUAUACUGACUUGUCCAUGCAUGUUCCUAAACAAAUGUGCUUGAUCACUGGCCGGAGAUAACUAGCUCGCCCAACAAUAAUUCUCUUACACAGAGCUUUUGGGAAAUAAGGCUUGCAUUCUUGAACUGAGUAGUAGGGAGUCAUUUGGACCGCAUUUCUUCAGAUCACAAGAACAGGAGCCUUGAAAGAGCAGCCUAGUUGAAGAUGGUAUUUCAAAAUGGUAGAUGUUAGACUGCAAUCGAAGAAGCUGCAGCAGCAGGAUUGCUAAGCCACGUAGAAGGAAAAAUGAGGAGAAAAAGUGAUUCCAAGUACAGUGCUAAUAGAUUAGUGUGGUUCUGUAAUGUAAUCCAUUUUAGUCUUUCCGAGCACUUGCCGAUGUCAUCAUCGGAUGCUGAAGUAUAGUUGUAACACAUAUUUGGAUUUCGAUUUAUGGUGUUGCAAAAUCUGGAACA